CUUGCUCGGCCUUUUGGUUGGGUGGGUUGCUACUAGUCGGGUGGCUUUCGGGAAUGUCGACCGGGGAGGUGCAUGAGUGGUGAUUGGUUUGUUACGUGUGGAUGGCUGUUUGCUUGCGCACCAACGUUCACGCUGCUUACCUCUUCAGUUUUGCGUCAAGACUUGGUUUGUCUUGAGCAUGUUGUGGGUUAUCUGUGUUGCAUACCUAAUUGAUGGUAACGUGUGGGUUUUACGAUUUUCCUUUUCGUCAUGCGUCGUUCAUGCGGCAUGGGAUGAACAAUGAAGCGGUCUUUGUGAUCCACCAUGCUGUUGUUUUGCAACAGUGAUGUGGCUUAUGAAGCAUCGUUUGGUCUCUUGUAUACGGAACCUGAUGUGGGCUUGGGUCUUCUCAUAAKAUCUUCACUAUGCUCUCGUUAAGCGUUCUCKCUUCUCCAAAAMGAKUGCSUGCCGUGUUACGGCGUGUCCUUUCGUGGUGGGCUACSUCAAAGAAGARUGC
rnacentral:misc_RNA from 1 species